CCUANGGGAGGCUGCAGUAACGAAUCUUCCGCAAUGCGCGAAAGCGUGACGGAGCAAUGCCGCGUGCAGGAUGAAGCCCUUCGGGGUGUAAACUGCUGUCAGGGUUUAGGAAGCACGUGACCAAACCCAAAGGAAGAGACGACUAACUCUGUGCCAGCAGUCGCGGUAAUACAGAGGUCUCGAGCGUUAGUCGGAGUCACUGGGCUUAAAGCGUACGUAGGCGGGCGCGCAGGCGUCGUGUGAAAUCCCUCAGCUCAACUGAGGAACUGCACGGCGAACCGCGCGUCUUGAGACAAGUAGGGGCGGUCGGAACGAUAGGUGGAGUGGUGAAAUGCGUUGAUAUCUAUCGGAAUGCCGAAGGAGAAAUCAGGCCGCUGGGCUUGUUCUGACGCUGAGGUACGAAAGCGUGGGUAGCGAACGGGAUUAGAUACCCCANUANUC
rnacentral:rRNA from 1 species